UUACUUCUCCCAGCAGUUCAGUGUGUACUAAAGUUGAAGAUCAAUCAUCUGAAGUUCAAAGUCUUAGUGCAUAAUUUUGUUUUUUUUCUCUGUGGAAUGGAAGCUGUGCCAAAGGGAAGCUCCUACCUAGCCCAACUCCUCUCCCCAUUGUUGAGAAAUAUUCUACAGUUAAAUAGUAAGAACAUCAGCAAAUCCAUAAGCAUGUUGUUUACAUAGCAGUUGCUCUCUAAAGCCUGAAGGAAUGAUCUGGAAUCUGUCUUUUCCUUGAGAAAGCCAGUUACCAGGCACUGUCCCUGGAAGUUCAUUCUUCCUAUGCUUUGGCUUUGGAUUUAAAGAGAUUGUGUCAGCACCCCAGCUUGUCCAUUUGUUAAUUCACAUAUUUAGGCAGGAUUUAAACCUCUCUUAGACCAUGCUCAGCCUCCAAGCAGCCUCAUCAUUGACAAAGAAUGUGGAGAAACAAGAGUUGAAUGAGCUCCUAAAACAGUCUAUCUUUCCUGGCUUUGCAGAAAAUUCUGGAGUCUGAGGAAAAAGAUAAUCGGCCCCACUUGCAGUCAAAGUUUCAAGGUCAGGCGUAAGAAUCAGUCACUGUGGAAGCACAGGUAAACACAGGCUGGAGUAGGUGGAAAGAGCACAGUGUGAUUUGGAGGGCAUUGGCUUUGAAAAUGAAGAAACAGAGAGAGAGAGAGAGAGAGAGAGAGAGAGCGAGAGAGAGAGAGAGAGAAUGAGAAUUGAAGUGAUCAUACCUUCCCACCUGGGUCUUUCCUUGGCCAUUUAUUUGGUUUGAGCUCACAAACCACACUCCAGAGGUGGCUGAGGAGUGGGAGUGGGUGAAGUCCAUGGGUGAUGAGAAGCAUCAUGAGAUUGUAUCAGUGCCUAGGGAAGACAAGUGCCAACUUUCUCCUGGGGCAAUGUCUUUGCUUUUGCUCUUGGGGGAAUGUCCUCUUCAGAGCCUGAGAGUCCUAGUGUGGCCAUGUUCUUACCAUGUGACUUUAAGCAAAUCUCUGAACCUUCUGAGGCCUGUUUUCUCAUCUGUAUAUCAGAAUAAAAUCCUUUCUUCUACAAUUUUCAUGGGCAUCAAAUGCCAUAAAUUGUGUAAAACAUCCCUCACUGUGACUAAUUGUGUGCUUCAGUAUUAUUGUAACUGCCAGUAUAGUUGAGUUUCCUCUCAUUUCUGGGGAGUCCCUGGGAAUCCCCAGAGGAUGGGGAGAGGCCUAUGGUACAGGAUCUUAUAUGGGGAAUAUCCAGUUUCCUUAGAACAAGUACAUCUAAUUUUAAACAAAACUAUAGGGAGAGCCUGUACCCAUUUUAGCCCUGUUUUCUGAUGCACUUUCCCUAAGCUGUUUUUAAUAGUCAGGUUCAUUCACACCACUUUGCCUGAAUUCUGAGGCUGGUAGGCGGCUUAUAGCUUCCAGCUGAUCCCUAGCAUUCUUGCUGUGCUGUGUACCAAGUCGGCUACAAAUGCAGGCCCACUUGCAAAGGCAGUCCAAAUCUAGGGAUGAUG